rnacentral:rRNA from 1 species
UACAGAGGUCUCAAGCGUUGUUCGGAUUCAUUGGGCGUAAAGGGUGCGUAGGUGGCGCUGUAAGUCGGGUGUGAAAUUUCGGAGCUUAACUCCGAAACUGCAUUCGAUACUGCGGUGCUUGAGGACUGGAGAGGAGACUGGAAUUCAUGGUGUAGCAGUGAAAUGCGUAGAGAUCAUGAGGAAGACCAGUGGCGAAAGGCGGGUCUC